rnacentral:rRNA from 1 species
GCGCCCGCCGGAGAACCAACCCAAACUCAUGUUGUUUGUGUCGUCUCAGCUUUAUUAUGAAAAUUGAUAAAACUUUCAACAACGGAUCUCUUGGCUCUGGCAUCGAUGAAGAACGCAGCGAAAUGCGAUAAGUAAUGUGAAUUGCAGAAUUUAGUGAAUCAUCGAAUCUUUGAACGCACAUUGCGCCCCUUGGUAUUCCGAGGGGCAUGCCUGUUCGAGCGUCAUAACACCCCCUCCAGCUGCCUUUGUGUGGCUGCGGUGUUGGGGCACGUCGCGAUGCGGCGGCCCUUAAAGACAGUGGCGGUCCCGGCGUGGGCUCUACGCGUAGUAACUUGCUUCUCGCGACAGAGUGACAACGGUGGCUUGCCAGAACACCCCUCUUUUGCUCCGUCACAUGGAUCACAGGUUGACCU